UAUUAUUAACGUAUCCCCUUAAAUCCAUAAAAGUGUUCUCAGUUUAGAAAUCAGUGAAACCUUUUGAGUUUUAACGUUUAGAAUGUUGACAGGACACUCAGUCGGUGAUUCGUCGUGUAAAAUGAGAUUUGAGCUGCAGAAUGUCUUGAAAAUGUCAGGAGGUGUGCGGAAUGUGUUGACAAUUAGUGCAACUCCUCGAACCCCCUUUUAUUUUUGUUUUAAGGCAUCAAAAUGUCGAAAUGUAACUUUGAAAUUUCAGAAAAAAGAUGGCGCCUGAACCAAAUUUUUUGAAUUCUCAAAUAAACUGUAAAAUGCAUAAACUCGGCACCAUGGUAACCAUCGGGAACGCGCGGGCCGCCUGACCUGAGCUGCGCGUGACCCGGAGCUGCUCUGUUGUGACCGUUGAAGCGGGCCUUAUUGUACACACGUCUGCUCCUUUUACUUUAUCAUAUGAAAGUGAUUUAUUUAACAUUAAAAUAAUGUGCACGAGCGCGCGCUGCCUCCAGCAUCUCGACCUCGCGCUCUGAGAUGCACCUCGUGAAGUGGAGAAUAAUGAGUGAGAUCUGUAGCCGUAUACCAUCAAGUUCGCAUGGACCUGUUUUUGGGGCCCUUAACUCAGAGCUAUCGGUCCAAACCGUUCGAGCUUGAGCCCUCUGGUUGACCGGAGCUGUGAGGCGAACUCCUCGAGCUGUUGACCGCGAGCUGAAAGUUAUCCUUGAAUCUCGUUCUAGUUUCUGACUUCCUCUUCCGCGGACCUCCGAGAAGCCGGAGAAUGGAGGACCACCCGUACGCGCUGCGCGGAGCUGGCGGAGACUACGAUGGAGCUCCUGGCCUCCCUGCGGCCGUCAGGUUAGUCCAGGAAGAUAACAUUGCGGACAUUAGGCUUCAUAAUGCGCGUGUGUCUUUGUUGCGUGUCUUGGCCCUUUUACCACCAGACGUGCUCCGGCGCCGACUCCGACACCCAGACAUCCGCCGCCGGUUCCGCCAGCUCCGCCAGAUCGCCCGACUCCGCGAGAGACUGGCCCGCAGGUAAGUUAUCAGGUUAGUGAUACACUUGUCCCUUUAAACUUACACUGUUUAAAGUCCUGUUAUUGGUUUGUAGGAGCACUUUAUUUUAUAUUCUGCUGUAAAUGUAAUAUGUUACAGUUCUUGCACUUUAUUGAUUGUUGAUUGUUUAAUGUUAUUGUCUGAUGUUGCCCCACCCGCCAUGACACAUUCCUUGUAUGUGAAAACAUUCUUUGCAAUAGACAGAUGGAUAGACAGACCGAGAGACACUUGAGAGAUAGAGAGAUGCAGACCCGUUCGCCCGUAUCUGUCCUUGGUGUUCCUGUCCUCUCACCCUCUCUUCAGCUCCGGCCCCCCAGAAACCAGAAGAGUCUCCCAGGAGGAGCAGGAAGAGGAGGAGCCCGACUGCCCGGCAGGACCGAUGAAGUGCCAGACAGCCUUCCCUCGCGCCUGGCGGGGGAAGGCUGGUUGGCGCGGUUAUACUUUUUUAUUUAGGUAUGGAUUGCUGUGACACGAGAAGCAACUUCCAGGAUCUCCUUAAUGACGACGAAGAAGAUGACGAGGGAGGACCACAUGAGAAGGAUGAAGGACUACAGGACCAGAUGCAGAGCGGCGGUUGCCUUAGGCAGGACUCCUCUGUCUCACGCCCAGCUGGAGGAGGACGUCAACCAACCGGUCACCCUCAGCAGACCACUGGACAAGAACAAUCAGGACCCCCCCCCCCCGCCCGUCCACCCAGACCCCCGACACCGCCCGCCCCGCCCACACAGGAAGCAGCUGUGAAGAAGACGGACACUUCAGCCUGAACAGACAUAAUAAUUCUUUCAUUACUCGACGUUCAUGUAAACUGUGUCCAGCAUUUAGAUUAUCUCCUGAUUUUAAUAAAUACAUGGACAACAACA